rfam:Cavia porcellus supercont2_139 genomic scaffold, whole genome shotgun sequence.
GGGUGCCCGUCAUGGGGCUCCUGGCACGAAGGUCUCAACGAGGGAGCUGUCCUGAGACACGCAUGUAAAAGUGAAACUAAAUUUUUGUGACCAACGCUACGUGGGAGCCUGCCGCGCCGCUAGAGUCAUGGUAAAUGGACGCGAUCCGUUUCCUUUUCUGCGGCAUGGGUCGGGCAUUAAGUGACACUUGUGUCAGGUUUAAAUAAAGUUUUAAAGACAAGAGGGAUAAAGGCUAAUAAAAAAGAUUUAUUGCAGUACUUUCAAUUUAUUCAUAAGGUUUGCCCUU